CUGUGCGACGGAGUGGGCCCCCGCGGCUGCUUCCACUGCUGUCGGGGGAGGCUCAAACGGCAACCCUGAGCCUGCCGCUGGCCUCACCGGGGCAGCUUCGAUGACGUCAGCCAGGCCGUGUUGGACCGGAUGGGCCUCGCCCCGGAAGAUCAUCGCCAGCGGUUCCGUGCCCGCAAGCUGACUGGGGAGGAUCGGCCAUUCGCGUGGGCUUGCAAGCUCCACGAUGCGGCGGUGCAUUGCUGGAGGCAGAGUGGGUGGAGACCGAAUCCCCUGUACACAUAUACUGACUCAGAGGAUGAGCAGCCUACAAAAAAACGGUUUUCCCAGGCCCCUCGAGUGAAAAUACCAGUCCGCCCCCCAGCCCACUGAUAGCAACCAUCAUAAUGCCCC
ensembl:lncRNA